GAUAACCGAAGAUCACACCAGGGCUGAGGGUUGGGUUGGUGAUCAGGCGAACAUCGCCACCACCAGGGGCCCAGGUGUCGUAAACACCGCCGAAGAACAUGGCCUUGAAGACCAGGAGCAGGGCACCAACGCCAAGAAGGAUCAGGUGAUAACCAAUGAUGUUGGUCAUCUGGUUCUUAUCGCGCCA
rnacentral:antisense_RNA from 10 species